rnacentral:rRNA from 1 species
UUAAGCGACUAAGCGUACACGGUGGAUGCCCUGGCAGUCAGAGGCGAUGAAGGACGUGCUAAUCUGCGAUAAGCGUCGGUAAGGUGAUAUGAACCGUUAUAACCGGCGAUUUCCGAAUGGGGAAACCCAGUGUGAUUCGUCACACUAUCAUUAACUGAAUCCAUAGGUUAAUGAGGCGAACCGGGGGAACUGAAACAUCUAAGUACCCCGAGGAAAAGAAAUCAACCGAGAUUCCCCCAGUAGCGGCGAGCGAACGGGGAGCAGCCCAGAGCCUGAAUCAGUGUGUGUGUUAGUGGAAGCGUCUGGAAAGGCGCGCGAUACAGGGUGACAGCCCCGUACACAAAAAUGCACAUAUUGUGAGCUCGAUGAGUAGGGCGGGACACGUGGUAUCCUGUCUGAAUAUGGGGGGACCAUCCUCCAAGGCUAAAUACUCCUGACUGACCGAUAGUGAACCAGUACCGUGAGGGAAAGGCGAAAAGAACCCCGGCGAGGGGAGUGAAAAAGAACCUGAAACCGUGUACGUACAAGCAGUGGGAGCCUCUUAAUGGGGUGACUGCGUACCUUUUGUAUAAUGGGUCAGCGACUUAUAUUCUGUAGCAAGGUUAACCGAAUAGGGGAGCCGAAGGGAAACCGAGUCUUAACUGGGCGUUAAGUUGCAGGGUAUAGACCCGAAACCCGGUGAUCUAGCCAUGGGCAGGUUGAAGGUUGGGUAACACUAACUGGAGGACCGAACCGACUAAUGUUGAAAAAUUAGCGGAUGACUUGUGGCUGGGGGUGAAAGGCCAAUCAAACCGGGAGAUAGCUGGUUCUCCCCGAAAGCUAUUUAGGUAGCGCCUCGUGAAUUCAUCUCCGGGGGUAGAGCACUGUUUCGGCAAGGGGGUCAUCCCGACUUACCAACCCGAUGCAAACUGCGAAUACCGGAGAAUGUUAUCACGGGAGACACACGGCGGGUGCUAACGUCCGUCGUGAAGAGGGAAACAACCCAGACCGCCAGCUAAGGUCCCAAAGUCAUGGUUAAGUGGGAAACGAUGUGGGAAGGCCCAGACAGCCAGGAUGUUGGCUUAGAAGCAGCCAUCAUUUAAAGAAAGCGUAAUAGCUCACUGGUCGAGUCGGCCUGCGCGGAAGAUGUAACGGGGCUAAACCAUGCACCGAAGCUGCGGCAGCGACACUAUGUGUUGUUGGGUAGGGGAGCGUUCUGUAAGCCUGUGAAGGUGUACUGUGAGGUAUGCUGGAGGUAUCAGAAGUGCGAAUGCUGACAUAAGUAACGAUAAAGCGGGUGAAAAGCCCGCUCGCCGGAAGACCAAGGGUUCCUGUCCAACGUUAAUCGGGGCAGGGUGAGUCGACCCCUAAGGCGAGGCCGAAAGGCGUAGUCGAUGGGAAACAGGUUAAUAUUCCUGUACUUGGUGUUACUGCGAAGGGGGGACGGAGAAGGCUAUGUUGGCCGGGCGACGGUUGUCCCGGUUUAAGCGUGUAGGCUGGUUUUCCAGGCAAAUCCGGAAAAUCAAGGCUGAGGCGUGAUGACGAGGCACUACGGUGCUGAAGCAACAAAUGCCCUGCUUCCAGGAAAAGCCUCUAAGCAUCAGGUAACAUCAAAUCGUACCCCAAACCGACACAGGUGGUCAGGUAGAGAAUACCAAGGCGCUUGAGAGAACUCGGGUGAAGGAACUAGGCAAAAUGGUGCCGUAACUUCGGGAGAAGGCACGCUGAUAUGUAGGUGAAGCGACUUGCUCGUGGAGCUGAAAUCAGUCGAAGAUACCAGCUGGCUGCAACUGUUUAUUAAAAACACAGCACUGUGCAAACACGAAAGUGGACGUAUACGGUGUGACGCCUGCCCGGUGCCGGAAGGUUAAUUGAUGGGGUUAGCGGUAACGCGAAGCUCUUGAUCGAAGCCCCGGUAAACGGCGGCCGUAACUAUAACGGUCCUAAGGUAGCGAAAUUCCUUGUCGGGU